rnacentral:rRNA from 1 species
CCUACGGGAGGCAGCAGUGGGGAAUUUUGGACAAUGGCGAAAGCCUGAUCCAGCCAUGCCGCGUGCAGGAUGAAGGCCUUCGGGUUGUAAACUGCUUUUGUACGGAACGAAACGGCCUUUUCUAAUAAAGAGGGCUAAUGACGGUACCGUAAGAAUAAGCACCGGCUAACUACGUGCCAGCAGCCGCGGUAAUACGUAGGGUGCAAGCGUUAAUCGGAAUUACUGGGCGUAAAGCGUGCGCAGGCGGUAAUGUAAGACAGUUGUGAAAUCCCCGGGCUCAACCUGGGAACUGCAUCUGUGACUGCAUUGCUGGAGUACGGUAGAGGGGGAUGGAAUUCCGCGUGUAGCAGUGAAAUGCGUAGAUAUGCGGAGGAACACCGAUGGCGAAGGCAAUCCCCUGGACCUGUACUGACGCUCAUGCACGAAAGCGUGGGGAGCAAACAGGAUUAGAUACCCUGGUAGUCCACGCCCUAAACGAUGUCAACUGGUUGUUGGGUCUUCACUGACUCAGUAACGANGCUAACGCGUGAAGUUGACCGCCUGGGGAGUACGGCCGCAAGGUNGAAACUCAANGGAAUUGACGG